UUCAUCUUUAUUUGGGAGUAAAAGUGCAUCUGGUGACCAAAUUUAUGACAUUUUCAUCCUUUUUUUAAAAAAAAAAUUAAUCAUUCAAUAGAGAGAUCAUAGGACUCUUGUUACUUUUCCUCUUCCUGUAAUCAUUUUUCGUUAUCUCUUUCGCCUCUUUUAGCUGCUUCCCUUUCAACUCCCGGGUCCAAGAAUUCGAUUAAUCUAUAGCAAUCACCACAGGAUUUCUCCUGGUUGGUUCCCUUAUUUUCACAUCUCAUGCCUGUUUGAUUACUUUUGGGCCUCUGAUAGAUUCAUCUUCUGUUUUUUCAGGAUUUUGACAUUGGGUGGGCUUGUUUGGGUGUUCUUCGGGGUUCUGAUGCUAAUGUCUUUGCAGCCGUUAUGAAAGCAGUUGAGGCCAUUCUAUCGAAGGCUACUAUUAAGACACAGACCGUCCAAGGUUCCAGAGGGAGUGUGUUGAGCGCAAUAACAAGCUGUUGUACUACAUCCUUGAUUGCCUUAGCAUGGGUUCAUCAUCAAGGUGACGAUAUGUCCUGUUCCUGGCACCAUCAAGAUUGAAAGUUUGGAGAUCAACAGCAAGGCCUUGUCAGUGAAUUUGACACUAGAAAGUAAUGGCUGAGUCUGGAUGUAUUGCUUCAGUUGAUGCAGCAAAAGCUAAAGGGUAUAACUGAUUUCAUGGCAGAAACUUGAUUUCUCACUUCCCCCUUUUGAAUAAUGUACAUUCUUGGGAACACUUGACCAAUUAGGAAUGUGUUAGGAUGAUUGGUGAGAAAACUUCUUUUUUAUUUUUUUUUUGGAUGACGUAAAAACUUUUGUCAGCGAGCCAAUAUACAUUAGGCAAGAUUUAUCAAAGAUGCUUUGCACUGCAUCUGUCUCUGUUUCAAGUAGAUUAUUUGUUUGACCCGAGUGAAAG